UACAGAGGUCCCAAGCGUUGUUCGGAUUCACUGGGCGUAAAGAGCUCGUAGGCGGUGUGUCGCGUCGGCCGUGAAAACCUGCAGCUUAACUGUGGGCUUGCGGUCGAUACGGGCAUCACUGGAGUUCGGCAGGGGAGACUGGAAUUCCUGGUGUAGCGGUGAAAUGCGCAGAUAUCAGGAGGAACACCGGUGGCGAAGGCGGCACUCUGGGCCGGAACUGACGCUGAGGAGCGAAAGCGUGGGGAGCAAACAGG
rnacentral:rRNA from 1 species